rnacentral:lncRNA from 1 species
CUUCUUUUUCACUUUUAUUUUUCUCUUCUCCUUUUUCUUUUUCCUCACUUGUUUUAACAAUAGAAUUUUUCAGUUUGAUUUGGUCCUCAUGGACUUGUUCCGGAGUGAGCGGCACUAAGGUGACUUUCCUUCCUUGAUGCUUGAAAGAAUACCUAUUGGUACAACCAUCAUAGGUGACCUUUCAAUCCCUUUGCCAUGGUUCUCCUAGCAACAAAUGGCAAGCUUG